CAGCCGCCGCGGGAAUACAGAGGAUGCAAGCGUUAUCCGGAAUGAUUGGGAAUAAAGUGUCUGUAGGUGGCUUUUCAAGUCCGCCGUCAAAUCCCCGAGCUCAACCCUGGACAAGCAGUGGAAACUACCAAGAUGGAGUACGGUAGGGGUAGAGGGAAUUUCCGGUGGAGCGGUGAAAUGCGUUGAGAUCGGAAAGAACACCAAUGGUGAAAGCACUCUGUUGGGCCGACACUGACACUGAGAGACGAAAGCUAGGGGAGCAAAUGGGAUUAGAUACCCCUGUAGUCCCUGUCUCUUAUAC
rnacentral:rRNA from 1 species